rnacentral:rRNA from 1 species
CAGCCGCCGCGGUAAUACAGAGGGUGCGAGCGUUAAUCGGAUUUACUGGGCGUAAAGCGUGCGUAGGCGGCUUCUUAAGUCGGAUGUGAAAUCCCUGAGCUUAACUUAGGAAUUGCAUUCGAUACUGGGAAGCUAGAGUAUGGGAGAGGAUGGUAGAAUUCCAGGUGUAGCGGUGAAAUGCGUAGAGAUCUGGAGGAAUACCGAUGGCGAAGGCAGCCAUCUGGCCUAAUACUGACGCUGAGGUACGAAAGCAUGGGGAGCAAACAGGAUUAGAUACCCCGGUAGUCCCUUUCUCUUAUAA